UGGGGAAUAUUGGGCAAUGGAGGAAACUCUGACCCAGCAAUGCCGCGUGAAUGAAGAAGGUCUUCGGAUUGUAAAGUUCUUUAGUCAGGGAAGAAAAAAAUGACGGUACCUGAAGAAUAAGCUCCGGCUAACUACGUGCCAGCAGCCGCGGUAAUACGUAGGGAGCAAGCGUUGUUCGGAAUGACUGGGCGUAAAGGGUGCGUAGGCGGUUAUACAAGUUAGAAGUGAAAUACCCAGGGCUUAACUCGGGUGCUGCUUCUAAAACUGUAAGACUUGAGUACAGUAGAGGUUAGUGGAAUUCCUAGUGUAGCGGUGGAAUGCGUAGAUAUUAGGAGGAACACCAGAGGCGAAGGCGGCUAACUGGACUGAAACUGACGCUGAGGCACGAAAGUGUGGGGAG
rnacentral:rRNA from 1 species